UACAGAGGGUGCGAGCGUUAAUCGGAAUUACUGGGCGUAAAGGGCUCGUAGGCGGCCAACUAAGUCAGACGUGAAAUCCCCAGGCUCAACCUGGGAACUGCGUCUGAUACUGGAUGGCUUGAGUUCGGGAGAGGGAUGCAGAAUUCCAGGUGUAGCGGUGAAAUGCGUAGAUAUCUGGAGGAAUACCGGUGGCGAAGGCGGGUCUCUGGGCCGAUAUCGACGCUGAGGAGCGAAAGCGUGGGGAGCGAACAGG
rnacentral:rRNA from 1 species